UACGAAGGGUGCAAACGUUGCUCGGAAUUAUUGGGCGUAAAGCGCACGUAGGCGGCCUUGCAAGUCGGAUGUGAAAUCUUAUGGCUUAACCAUAAAAGUGCAUCCGAAACUGCAGUGCUUGAGUACUUAAGAGGAUCGCGGAAUUCCCGGUGUAGAGGUGAAAUUCGUAGAUAUCGGGAGGAACACCAGUGGCGAAGGCGGCGAUCUGGGAAGAUACUGACGCUGAGGUGCGAAAGCGUGGGGAGCAAACAGG
rnacentral:rRNA from 1 species